rnacentral:RNase_P_RNA from 2 species
UGUUCAUUGCAGAUGAUCGCUUCGCCCCGCAUUUGCGGGGCGGGGAGGAAAGUCCGAACUCCUGCCCCGCAGUUGCGGGGCAAUGGGUAGUGGGUAACGCCCACCUCCCGAUCCGCGAGGCAUCGGGACGGGACAGCGCCACAGAGACAAUACUAGUCCGCCUUUGGCGGAUGAAAGGUGAAAAGUGAACGGGUGUUUUUGAUCUCGAGUCAAAAACUACUGUUCUCGAACCAUGGUGACAUGGUUUCGUGGCAAACCCUGCCCGGAGAAAGUACAGUGUUUCCCGACAUUCGGGAUUCAAAAAGUUAGUACGUUCGAUCUCGACGGUAACGUCGGGACAAGAGAAAUGAUCAUCACCGCAGAUUUUUCUAUCUGUGAAAUCAGUGUCAAAAAAUCUGUGGACAAAAUUCGGCUUACGCAAUGGACAAGAC